rnacentral:rRNA from 1 species
CCUACGGGAGGCAGCAGUGAGGAAUAUUGGUCAAUGGACGAGAGUCUGAACCAGCCAAGUAGCGUGAAGGAUGACUGCCCUAUGGGUUGUAAACUUCUUUUAUAUGGGAAUAAAAUGUUCCACGUGUGGGAUUUUGUAUGUACCAUAUGAAUAAGGAUCGGCUAACUCCGUGCCAGCAGCCGCGGUAAUACGGAGGAUCCGAGCGUUCUCCGGAUUUAUUGGGUUUAAAGGGAGCGUAGGUGGAUUGUUAAGUCAGUUGUGAAAGUUUGCGGCUCAACCGUAAAAUUGCAGUUGAAACUGGCAGUCUUGAGUACAGUAGAGGUGGGCGGAAUUCGUGGUGUAGCGGUGAAAUGCUUAGAUAUCACGAAGAACUCCGAUUGCGAAGGCAGUUCACUGGACUGCAACUGACACUGAGGCUCGAAAGUGUGGGUAUCAAACAGGAUUAGAUACCCCAGUAGUC